CGUGCYUAAUACAUGCAAGUCGAGCGGAUCUUWAUUAGCUUGCUUUUGAAGAUCAGCGGCGGACGGGUGAGUAACACGUGGGCAACCUGCCUGUAAGACUGGGAUAACUUCGGGAAACCGGAGCUAAUACCGKAUAAUCCUUUCCCUCACAUGAGGGAAAGCUKAAAGACGGUUUCGGCUGUYACUUACAGAUGGGCCCGCGGCGCAUUAGCUAGUUGGUGAGGUAACGGCUCACCAAGGCAACGAUGCGUAGCCGACCUGAGAGGGUGAUCGGCCACACUGGGACUGAGACACGGCCCAGACUCUACGGGAGGCAGCAGUAGGGAAUCUUCCGCAAUGGACGAAAGUCUGACGGAGCAACGCCGCGUGAACGAUGAAGGCUUUCGGGUCGUAAAGUUCUGUUGUCAGGGAAGAACAAGUAUCGGAGUAACUGCCGGUACCUUGACGGUACCUGACCAGAAAGCCACGGCUAACUACGUGCCAGCAGCCGCGGUAAUACGUAGGUGGCAAGCGUUGUCCGGAAUUAUUGGGCGUAAAGCGCGCGCAGGCGGUUCCUUAAGUCUGAUGUGAAAGCCCCCGGCUCAACCGGGGAGGGUCAUUGGAAACUGGGGAACUUGAGUGCAGAAGAGGAGAGCGGAAUUCCACGUGUAGCGGUGAAAUGCGUAGAGAUGUGGAGGAACACCAGUGGCGAAGGCGGCUCUCUGGUCUGUAACUGACGCUGAGGCGCGAAAGCGUGGGGAGCGAACAGGAUUAGAUACCCUGGUAGUCCACGCCGUAAACGAUGAGUGCUAAGUGUUAGAGGGUUUCCGCCCUUUAGUGUGCAGCAAACGCAUUAA
rnacentral:rRNA from 1 species